AGUGAACGCUGGCGGCAGGCCUAACACAUGCAAGUCGAACGGCAGCACAGAGGAGCUUGCUCCUUGGGUGGCGAGUGGCGGACGGGUGAGGAAUACAUGGGAAUCUGCCCAAUCGUGGGGGAUAACGUAGGGAAACUUACGCUAAUACCGCAUACGACCUACGGGUGAAAGCGGCGGACCGCAAGGCGUCGCGCGAUUGGAUGAGCCCAUGUCGGAUUAGCUAGUUGGCGGGGUAAAGGCCACCAAGGCGACGAUCCGUAGCUGGUCUGAGAGGAUGAUCAGCCACACUGGAACUGAGACACGGUCCAGACUCCUACGGGAGGCAGCAGUGGGGAAUAUUGGACAAUGGGCGCAAGCCUGAUCCAGCCAUGCCGCGUGAGUGAAGAAGGCCCUCGGGUUGUAAAGCUCUUUUGUCCGGAAAGAAAAGCUUUCGGUUAAUACCCGGAAGUCCUGACGGUACCGGAAGAAUAAGCACCGGCUAACUACGUGCCAGCCGCCGCAGUAAGAC
rnacentral:rRNA from 1 species